UACGAAGGGUGCAAGCGUUAAUCGGAAUUACUGGGCGUAAAGGGUGCGUAGGCGGUUAUUUAAGUCUGCCGUGAAAUCCCCGGGCUCAACCUGGGAAUGGCGGUGGAUACUGGAUAGCUAGAGUGUGUCAGAGGAUGGUGGAAUUCCCGGUGUAGCGGUGAAAUGCGUAGAGAUCGGGAGGAACAUCAGUGGCGAAGGCGGCCAUCUGGGACAACACUGACGCUGAAGCACGAAAGCGUGGGGAGCAAACAGG
rnacentral:rRNA from 3 species